GCAUAGUCUGCUAUAUGAAAGGCCCCGAAAUUACAAAUGAUAAAACAAUUCAAACGAGAUGCAUUAUGAUUAGUUUGGUUUUUUUUUUUCAAUCCAGGAAAAUAUGUAUAACUGUGUAUAUAAAAUUUACAAAUUGCCAAUAUCUCCUUUUAAGCUCACCAGGCCAAAAGUGACAAAGUGCGAUUAUUAAGAAAAGAGUUCUAGUAUUUCACAAGCUUUUAGCAUUGAUUAUAAAUUUAAUUUAAAUUCCAGCAACCUUUCACG
rnacentral:lncRNA from 1 species